rnacentral:tRNA from 1 species
AAUAGGGUGUCUGAUUUAUAGGUUGUAAAUUGUAAAUUUAUAUAUGGCGUUAAUAGCCCCCUGUUA